CCUACGGGAGGCAGCAGUAGGGAAUAUUGCUCAAUGGGGGCAACCCUGAAGCAGCAACGCCGCGUGGAGGAUGAAGGUUUUCGGAUUGUAAACUCCUUUUGUUAGAGAAGAUAAUGACGGUAUCUAACGAAUAAGCACCGGCUAACUCCGUGCCAGCAGCCGCGGUAAUACGGAGGGUGCCAGCGUUACUCGGAAUCACUGGGCGUAAAGAGCGCGUAGGCGGGAUAGCAAGUCAGAUGUGAAAUCCUAGGGCUUAACCAUAGAACUGCAUUUGAAACUGUUAUUCUAGAGUAUGGGAGAGGUAGGUGGAAUUCUUGGUGUAGGGGUAAAAUCCGUAGAGAUCAAGAGGAAUACUCAUUGCGAAGGCGACCUGCUAGAACAUAACUGACGCUGAUGCGCGAAAGCGUGGGGAGCAAACAGGAUUAGAUACCCGAGUAGUC
rnacentral:rRNA from 1 species